UUCCGGUUGAUCCUGCCGGAGGACAUUGCUAUUGGGAUUCGAUUUAGCCAUGCUAGUCGGACGAGUUUAGACUCGUGGCAGAUAGCUCAGUAACACGUGGCCAAGCUACCCUCCAGUCGGCAAUACCCUCGGGAAACUGAGGUUAACGGCCGAUGUGGGACGCCUGCUGGAAUGCGGCGUUCUCUAAAGGCGACGCUGAAGGAUGCGGCUGCGGCCGAUUAGGUUGACGGUGGGGUAACGGCCCACCGUGCCAGUAAUCGGUACGGGUGAUGAGAGUCAGAGCCCGGAGGCGGAAUCUGAGACAAGAUUCCGGGCCCUACGGGGCGCAGCAGGCGCGAAACCUUUACACUGCACGGAAGUGCGAUAGGGGAAUCCCAAGUGCGAGGGCAUAUUCGCCCUCGCUUUUGUUGACCGUAAGGUGGUCAACGAAUAAGAGCUGGGCAAGACCGGUGCCAGCCGCCGCGGUAAUACCGGCAGCUCAAGUGAUGUCCAAUAUUAUUGGGCCUAAAGCGUCCGUAGCUGGUCGCGCAAGUCCGUCGGGAAAUCCACCUGCCCAACAGGUGGGCGUCCGGCGGAAACUGUGUGGCUUGGAACCGGAAGGCUCAGAGGGUACGUCCGGGGUAGGAGUGAAAUCCCGUAAUCCCGGACGGACCACCGAUGGCGAAAGCACUC
rnacentral:rRNA from 1 species